rnacentral:rRNA from 1 species
GACGAACGCUGGCGGCGUGCUUAACACAUGCAAGUCGAACGGAAAGGCCCUGCUUGCAGGGUACUCGAGUGGCGAACGGGUGAGUAACACGUGGGUGAUCUGCCCUGCACUUCGGGAUAAGCCUCGGAAACUGGGUCUAAUAACGGCUAGGAGACAUUUUUAGUGUGAUGGUUGGAUAGUUUUUUCGGUGUAGGGUGAGCUCGCGGGCUAUCAGCUUGUUGGUGCGGUAAUGGCCUACCAAGGCGGCUACGGGUAGCCGGCCUGAGAGGGUGGACGGCCACAUUGGGACCGAGAGACGGCCCAGACUCCGACGGGAGGGAGCAGGGGGGAAGAUUGCACAAUGGGCGCAAGCCGGAUGCAGCGACGCCGCGGGGGGGAUGACGGUCUUCGGGUUGAAAACUCCUUGCGCUAGGGACGAAGCUUGUUGUGACGGUACCUAGAUAAGAAGCACCGGCUAACUACGUG